AUGCAGUCGAGCGGUAACAGAAAGUAGCUUGCUACUUUGCUGACGAGCGGCGGACGGGUGAGUAAUGCUUGGGAACAUGCCUUGAGGUGGGGGACAACAGUUGGAAACGACUGCUAAUACCGCAUAAUGUCUACGGACCAAAGGGGGCUUCGGCUCUCGCCUUUAGAUUGGCCCAAGUGGGAUUAGCUAGUUGGUGAGGUAAUGGCUCACCAAGGCAACGAUCCCUAGCUGGUUUGAGAGGAUGAUCAGCCACACUGGGACUGAGACACGGCCCAGACUCCUACGGGAGGCAGCAGUGGGGAAUAUUGCACAAUGGGCGCAAGCCUGACGCAGCCAUGCCGCGUGUGUGAAGAAGGCCUUCGGGUUGUAAAGCACUUUCAGUCAGGAGGAAAGGUUAGUAGUUAAUACCUGCUAGCUGUGACGUUACUGACAGAAGAAGCACCGGCUAACUCCGUGCCAGCAGCCGCGGUAAUACGGAGGGUGCGAGCGUUAAUCGGAAUUACUGGGCGUAAAGCGUACGCAGGCGGUUUGUUAAGCGAGAUGUGAAAGCCCCGGGCUCAACCUGGGAACUGCAUUUCGAACUGGCAAACUAGAGUGUGAUAGAGGGUGGUAGAAUUUCAGGUGUAACGGUGAAAUUGCGUAGAGAUC
rnacentral:rRNA from 1 species